AGUUACUGAUGGCGUCAUCGCCCCACUUGAACCAGAUGCCCUCACCAACCUCCAUGCAAUUGAAGAUGAUGGAGAAACAUUGUCUGCGGCAUUCGAAAGGGAAGAGGAAAGGCCUAUUGAGGAUGAAAUCGAAUCCAAUGAGAGGCCAUCCACUUCUAAAUCACAGCUUACCUCUGUAAGAUUCUCCCUGGAAUUAUAAUGAAACGCUC